rnacentral:lncRNA from 1 species
CUUUUAAAUAUACGUAAGCCCCAAAUAAACCAAUUAUACAAACCAAAAAUACCCAACAAAAGCAAACUCUCCUCCUAAGGCAAGUGCGAACAUCAUUGGUAAGUUCUGACGUGGCCUCUGUAUAGUCUGUUGUCCUGGCUCUGAGAAACGUAACUUAAAACCUCUUUGAAACGUCUUAAUCUUUGAGCACCCUAAGUCCUUGAGCACCCAUUCAUUUUUGUCUUUGACCUUCUAAGUGUCAGAUUGGUUUCCAGUUUGAAACCAAACAAACUUCUUUGAAAUUCUUGAAGACGUAGUUCCAGGGGAGCAUAGCAUAGCUUCCAGGUGGCUACUGAAAUGGCUGACAGUUACUAAAGAUGGUGAGGAUAGAGUUAAAAGCAGCAGCACUCCCAUUUUCUGAUGAUGGCAG